rnacentral:hammerhead_ribozyme from 1 species
GCACUGCUGACAAGUCCCAAAACAAGACGAAACAGCUGUCCAGUGC